rnacentral:tRNA from 6 species
CGGGGUGUAGCGCAGUCUGGUAGCGCACCUGCCUUGGGCGCAGGGGGUCGUCAGUUCGAAUCUGGCCACCCCGACCA